CCUUAUUGUGUGGACGCCAAAGUCGGGUAGCUGUUAUCAGUCCGCCGCGGCCACCAAUAUCCUAAUCCUUCCUUAUUAUCCUUACACACUCAUACGCCAAGUCCGUCGCGAUACAUAAAAAAUACUAUAUUCAUCACAAUUCAAUCACUUAAAUACUUUAAACCGUAGGAGUUUCUUAUCACACACGUGUCAUUAUUAACCAACAAAAACACUGUUGUUCUUUCGUUCAUUAUAUAUACAUAUAUACCUAUACCUAAUUACUUUCCUCUUAAAGGUAUCGUUAAAGGACAUAAUUUCUAGCGGUCGAACAAUCCUAUUACACCCAUGUGACUAUUUUUGGUCAGCAAGGAAUGUAGUCGGCUUAUAAUAACUCAGUAGACGUUGUUAUUUCUGACAAGCGCAUUGAUUAUUAUAAAACCAUUGGUAGACCGUGUACUGAAUUACACUUUAACGAGGAACAGAUUGUCGUAAGAUAACGUUAAAACACCAGUGUCUGAAAUAUUUUAUGAACGAAAACAUUCGCGUUAGAACAACGUUCAUCUCGACAUAUCAAGAUCACAUACUCAAGGAAUAUCGACAAGGUCAUAGAGCUUCGAGUAACUUCACGACAAGAUGGAAUAUCAACUUAAAAUAACCAUUUGAGUUACACUAUAAUGAUGUAAAAAAUGAGUUAUAUAUUUAUUUAUCAGUUAAGAUGACGUGGCUAUUCGGUGUGAGCAAGCAUAAUUAGUUUUAUCAACCUAUGGAAACUGUCUUUGACCACACAAGAAGAAUUUAGAAAAAAAUAAUUAUUUACUAAUACCGACUAGUUGAGAGCUGAUUAUACAAUAGAAGUAGCGACAAGAACCGACGAUUUAAAGCAACCUAACCAUUGGGCCUGUGAAUAAAUCGGAACAAAUAAAAUAUUUAGCUUUUUAUAAAAAACCA